AUUGAACGCUGGCGGCAGGCCUAACACAUGCCAGUCGAGCGGCGCGGCGGUCGGGUGCGUAAUGCCUAGGAAUCUGCCUGGUAGUGGGGGAUAACGUCCGGACACGGGCGCUAAUACCGCAUACUAUCAGAUGAGUCUAGGACGGAUUAGGUAGUUGGUGGGGUAAAGGCCUACAAAGGCGACGAUCCGUAACUGGUAUGAGAGGAUGAUCAGUCACACUGGAACUGAGAAAGGGUCCAAACUCCUACGGGAGGCAGAGGUGGGGAAGAAUGGACAAUGGGCGAAAGCCUGGUACAUCCAUGCCGCGUGAGGGAAGAAGGUCUUCGGGUGGUAAAGCACUUUAAGUUGGGAGGCGUUACCAACAGAAUAAGCACCGGCUAACUGCGUGCCAGCAGACGCGGUAAUAC
rnacentral:rRNA from 1 species